UUUGAUGUACACACAGAAGAUUCCUGUGAAUAUACUUUUCGCAUUUUGCUUUAGAUUUAUUAAGAAAUGAGAAAAAAGUUAUUUGCUUUGCCUUCAGUUCUUUCAGAGAUUCACUUGGAAGCAGAUAGUCUCAGCUUUGUUCUUUCUUAUUCGAUACUGCUUGUUUUAGUCGACCAAGUAUGCAACUACGCAACUUAUCUAUAGUAAAAGAACUUCAUACAGCAGGAAACCACAACUUAAAACAGACCCACUUAAAAUAAUUUGUUUAGAAAACUUUGAAUUCAACAUUGUGUUUCCAAACUGCGAUUUAAGAAGUCAGAAAUUAAACAAGUCUGAAACUUUGGACAAAUGUGCUUCACGAACGGUUCACGGAAAACUGGUGUAUAUUUCCAAUGCUGUUUCCAAGGAGAUAUUAUCAUUAAAUUAAUUUUGCUUAUAUCUGUUUCAAAAGGAAUAAAUAACAAAUUCCUCUUCUAAAUGAAUAAAUAAAAAAGACAAUCUUUGACGGUUUUGAACUCAAGAUGUGACACCAAUUUUUGGAUACUGCAUGACAUUGAGUCCAUUUCUUUCAUGAACGAACAUCUCUUACCGUUCAAAUAUAAACAUACUUUUACAAGGCUCAAUGUAAAAUAUAAAAAACAUUAAUGUCCUCACCAAAUUGCUGAAAUUACUACCACUCGACCAAGACAAUUGUCACCACAAAACAACGUGAUAAGAAAUAUUACAAGAUAUCAUCAGAAAAAGGAUAUGCAGAACUGUCUAUGGUCUCCACUGCACAAGCCUUGAAGCCGAAUCUGCUACAUUGGUCUGUUGUACUGUAUAUUUUCAGUAACUUCACGAAGAUUUCUGCUGAUUUAAAACAGAGACACUUGAAAUCAAAAGCUUUGUACUAGAGGCUUUCAUCAACAACAGCUGUAACGAGGGGCCAGACUGGAUAAAAGUAUGAUCGCCACACAAACAAUCAAAAUGAAUGUCUAGCCCGAUAUUAAUAAAUUUAUUUUCUUUUUCGUUUGACUUCCGGACAUCAAACGGAAAAAUCCUCACCAAUUCUUUUACUGUUGAUUCUGUAAACUAACAGUUGAUUCAGCUUAAAAGAUUGUUUAUCUCGAAAAUCCGCUGUUGUUUUGUAUAUUUUGUAUAAGGGAAGAAUUACGUAUUUUGUUGUUUUUUA